CGUAUGGUGUCUAGCGUUAGGGUUAGAUAGCGAUGCGGCCUAACUAGAGGU
ncrna:Arsenophonus nasoniae DSM 15247 L31-Gammaproteobacteria ribosomal protein leader